ACCUUCGGGCCUCUUGCCAUCAGAUGUGCCCAGAUGGGAUUAGCUUGUUGGUGAGGUAACGGCUCACCAAGGCGACGAUCCCUAGCUGGUCUGAGAGGAUGACCAGCCACACUGGAACUGAGACACGGUCCAGACUCCUACGGGAGGCAGCAGUGGGGAAUAUUGCACAAUGGGCGCAAGCCUGAUGCAGCCAUGCCGCGUGUAUGAAGAAGGCCUUCGGGUUGUAAAGUACUUUCAGCGGGGAGGAAGGUGUUGUGGUUAAUAACCGCAGCAAUUGACGUUACCCGCAGAAGAAGCACCGGCUAACUCCGUGCCAGCAGCCGCGGUAAUACGGAGGGUGCAAGCGUUAAUCGGAAUUACUGGGCGUAAAGCGCACGCAGGCGGUCUGUCAAGUCGGAUGUGAAAUCCCCGGGCUCAACCUG
rnacentral:rRNA from 1 species